rnacentral:rRNA from 1 species
UACGGGGGGAGCAAGCGUUGUUCGGAUUUACUGGGCGUAAAGGGCGCGUAGGCGGCCACCGCAAGUCGACUGUGAAAUCUCCGGGCUUAACUCGGAAAGGUCAGCCGAUACUGCGGGGCUAGAGUGCGGAAGGGGCAACUGGAAUUCUCGGUGUAGCGGUGAAAUGCGUAGAUAUCGAGAGGAACACCUGCGGCGAAGGCGGGUUGCUGGGCUGACACUGACGCUGAAGUGCGAAAGCUAGGGGAGCGAACGGG